AUCAGUAGGGGUUCUGAGAGGAAGGUCCCCCACAUUGGAACUGAGACACGGUCCAAACUCCUACGGGAGGCAGCAGUGAGGAAUAUUGGUCAAUGGACGAGAGUCUGAACCAGCCAAGUAGCGUGCAGGAAGACGGCCCUCUGGGUUGUAAACUGCUUUUAGUUGGGAACAAAAAAGGCGACGUGUCGCCUCUGGAGUGUACCAUCAGAAAAAGGACCGGCUAAUUCCGUGCCAGCAGCCGCGGUAAUACGGAAGGUCCAGGCGUUAUCCGGAUUUAUUGGGUUUAAAGGGAGCGUAGGCGGACGAUUAAGUCAGCUGUGAAAGUUUGCGGCUCAACCGUAAAAUUGCAGUUGAAACUGGUUGUCUUGAGUGCACGCAGGGAUGUUGGAAUUCAUGGUGUAGCGGUGAAAUGCUUAGAUAUCAUGAAGAACUCCGAUCGCGAAGGCAUAUGUCCGGAGUGCAACUGACGCUGAGGCUCGAAAGUGCGGGUAUCGAACAGGAUUAGAUACCCUGGUAGUCCGCACAGUAAACGAUGAAUACUCGCAGUAUGCGAUAUAAUGUAUGCUGCCAAGUGAAAACGUUAAGUAUUCCACCUGGGGAGUACGCCGGCAACGGUGAAACUCAAAGGAAUUGACGGGGGCCCGCACAAGCGGAGGAACAUGUGGUUUAAUUCGAUGNNNNNCGGUGAAACUCAAAGGAAUUGACGGGGGCCCGCACAAGCGGAGGAACAUGUGGUUUAAUUCGAUGAUACGCGAGGAACCUUACCCGGGCUUGAACUAAGCAGGAAGAUGGGCAGAGACGCCCGUUGUCUUCGGACCUGCUUGGAGGUGCUGCAUGGUUGUCGUCAGCUCGUGCCGUGAGGUGUCGGCUUAAGUGCCAUAACGAGCGCAACCCUUCUCCACGUUUGCCAUCAGGUUGUGCUGGGCACUCCGUGGAUACUGCCAUCGUAAGAUGUGAGGAAGGUGGGGAUGACGUCAAAUCAGCACGGCCCUUACGUCCGGGGCUACAUUCGCUAGUAAUCGCGCAUCAGCCAUGGCGCGGUGAAUACGUUCCCGGGCCUUGUACACACCGCCCGUCAAGCCAUGAAAGCCGGGGGUGCCUGAAAGCUGUGACCGUAAGGGGCGGCCUAGGGUAAAACCGGUGAUUGGGGCUAAGUCGUAACAAGGUAGCCGUACCGGAAGGUGCGGCUG
rnacentral:rRNA from 1 species